rnacentral:rRNA from 1 species
UACGAAGGGGGCUAGCGUUGUUCGGAUUUACUGGGCGUAAAGCGCACGUAGGCGGAUUGUUAAGUCGGGGGUGAAAUCCUGGAGCUCAACUCCAGAAUUGCCUUCGAUACUGGCUUUCUAGAGGCUGGAAGAGGUUAGUGGAAUUCCCAGUGUAGAGGUGAAAUUCGUAGAUAUCGGGAGGAACACCUGUGGCGAAGGCGGCCAUCUGGACAGUCACUGACACUGAGACGCGAAAGCGUGGGUAGCAAACAGG